rnacentral:rRNA from 1 species
CCUACGGGCGGCAGCAGUGGGGAAUAUUGCACAAUGGGGGAAACCCUGAUGCAGCGACGCCGCGUGAGUGAAGAAGUACUUCGUUAUGUAAAGCUCUAUUAGUAGGGAAGAAAAUGACGGUACCUGAGUACGAAGCCCCGGCUAACUAAGUGCAAGCAGCCGCGGUAAUACGUAGGGGGCAAGCGUUAUUCGGAUUUACUGGGUGUAAAGGGAGCGUAGACGGCAGUGCAAGUCUGGUGUGAAAGGCGGGGGCUCAACCCCCGGACUGCUCUGGAAACUGUACGGCUGGAGUGCAGGAGAGGUAUGUGGAAUUCCUAGUGUAGCGGUGAAAUGCGUAGAUAUUAGGAGGAACACCAGUGGCGAAGGCAGCUUACUGGACUGUAACUGACGUUGAAGCUCGAAAGCGUGGGGAGCGAACAGGAUUAGAUACCCGGGUAGUC